rnacentral:misc_RNA from 1 species
GAUGAAGAACGUAGCGAAAUGCGAUAAGUAAUGCGAAUUGCAGAUCUCCGUGAGUCAUUGAAUCUUUGAACGCACAUUGCGCCCUCGGGUAUUCCCGAGGGCAUGCCUGUCCGAGCGUCAUUAUCCAACCAUCAAGCUCGGCUUGCGGUUGAGCCCCGCACCGUCCCCGGGACGGUGGGCUCGAAACAUGUUGGGCGCCCGUGAGGUUGUCGGUGCAGCGAGCUCUCGAGCACGUGCCGGGCAUCCGCUCUGGGCGUCGGCCAGCCCCCCCAUUUUCUCAGGUUGACCUCGGAUCAGGUAGGAAUACCCGCUGAACUUAAGCAUAUCAAUAAGCGGAGGA